rnacentral:rRNA from 1 species
CCUACGUGAGGCAGCAGUAGGGAAUUUUCGGCAAUGGGGGGAACCCUGACCGAGCAACGCCGCGUGAACGAAGAAGUUAUUCGUAAUGUACAGUUCUUUUAACAGGGAAGAAAGAGAAAUUAGACGGUAACUGAAGAAUAAGCUCCGGCUAACUACGUGCCAGCAGCCGCGGUAAUACGUAGGGCGCAAGCUGUAUCCGGAAUUAUUGGGCGAUAAGGGUGCGUAGAUGGCAUAGAAAGUCUUUGGUAAAUAGGCUGGGCUAAAGCCAGUAGGGCAAAAGAUACUGUAAAGCUAGAGUAUGACAGAGGUAAGUGGAACUACAUGUGUAGCGGUAAAAUGCGUAGAUAUAUGUAAGAACACCAGUGGCGAAGGCGGCUUGCUGGGUCGAUACUGACAUUGAGGCACGAAAGCGUGGGGAGCAAACAGGAUUAGAUACCCCUGUAGUC